UGCAGUCGAACGGUGAAGGAGGAGCUUGCUCCUUUGGAUCAGUGGCGAACGGGUGAGUAACACGUGAGUAACCUGCCCCAGACUCUGGGAUAAGCACUGGAAACGGUGUCUAAUACCGGAUACGAGCUUCAGCCGCAUGGCUAGGAGCUGGAAAGAAUUUCGGUCUGGGAUGGACUCGCGGCCUAUCAGCUAGUUGGUGAGGUAAUGGCUCACCAAGGCGACGACGGGUAGCCGGCCUGAGAGGGUGACCGGCCACACUGGGACUGAGACACGGCCCAGACUCCUACGGGAGGCAGCAGUGGGGAAUAUUGCACAAUGGGCGCAAGCCUGAUGCAGCAACGCCGCGUGAGGGACGACGGCCUUCGGGUUGUAAACCUCUUUUAGUAGGGAAGAAGCGAAAGUGACGGUACCUGCAGAAAAAGCACCGGCUAACUACGUGCCAGCAGCCGCGGUAAUACGUAGGGUGCAAGCGUUAUCCGGAAUUAUUGGGCGUAAAGAGCUCGUAGGCGGUUUGUCGCGUCUGCUGUGAAAACUGGAGGCUCAACCUCCAGCCUGCAGUGGGUACGGGCAGACUAGAGUGCGGUAGGGGAGAUUGGAAUUCCUGGUGUAGCGGUGGAAUGCGCAGAUAUCAGGAGGAACACCGAUGGCGAAGGCAGAUCUCUGGGCCGUAACUGACGCUGAGGAGCGAAAGCAUGGGGAGCGAACAGGAUUAGAUACCCUGGUAGUCCAUGCCGUAAACGUUGGGAACUAGAUGUAGGGACCAUUCCACGGUUUCUGUGUCGCAGCUAACGCAUUAAGUUCCCCGCCUGGGGAGUACGGCCGCAAGGCUAAAACUCAAAGGAAUUGACGGGGGCCCGCACAAGCGGCGGAGCAUGCGGAUUAAUUCGAUGCAACGCGAAGAACCUUACCAAGGCUUGACAUAUACCGGAAAAGUUCAGAAAUGUUCUCCCCGCAAGGUCGGUAUACAGGUGGUGCAUGGUUGUCGUCAGCUCGUGUCGUGAGAUGUUGGGUUAAGUCCCGCAACGAGCGCAACCCUCGUU
rnacentral:rRNA from 1 species